AAUAACCGCAGUCAUAAGUUUUCGUAUCCAACUUUGAUUGUCCGUCUUAUUUAAAAAAAAUUGUUUGUAUUUUUGUUUUUAUUACAUUAUAAAAUAUGAAUAGUACUUUAUGCGUGACUUAUGUUUUUUAUUUUUUUAAAAAAAAUAAAUAAGACGGAUAAUUAAAGUUGGACACGAAAACUCAUGAUUACGUUUAUU
rfam:Oryza glaberrima chromosome 6 Oglab06_0073_4, whole genome shotgun sequence.